UUAUGUUGUGCGUGAGCUGGGUAUAGCUUUUAUGAAGCAUCUAUUUGUAGAGUUCUAUUUGGUCAUUUGAUUUUAGAUAUGUAGAGUAGAUAGGUCAUUUGAUUUUAGAUAUGUAGAGUAGAUAGUUUUUUGAAGGUUGAUUUGGAGAUUCAUGUGGAAUUUUCCUUGCAGCGUCAAAUUUAAGGUAUGUUUUCCUGCAUCUACUCCUUUUUGAGGAUUUUACCAUGCGAUCUGCUAAUUUCUCUAUUGGUGUUAAAGUAUUUAGUCCUUUUUGUAAGCUUUAGGGUUCUUCUGUCACGGAUCUAAUGUGAUAUGGUGUUCAUCAAUGAUCUGUGAUCCACCCAGGACGAGUUUCCCAUGACUCGUGCUAAUUUUACAUUAAUUAGCUUCUAUUAUCUUACAUAACAAUCUCUCCUUCCUAAACAGAUGGAGGUGUUUUAUUCAGAGAAGGUUAACUGCGGUGAAUUAUGGCGUAAUUAGAAUUUAAAUAAAUGUAGUAUGAGUUACAACUUUUAUAGUUAAAUUGUUGUUGAAAUUGAGGGGGAAAAAAGAACUGGUUGAUUCAACCCCCACAGUGUUUCCAUCUGAUUUUAUCAAUGACAGUAGAUAGUAACUAAACGUGUUCAGAAAUCAUCAACCCAUUCGGGAUUUCGGAACACGGGUUUGAGACUAGUUCUUAGGUUGUUUAUGUUCAGUGUUCGUGAAAAUAAGUGGAAGAUCUAAUGGAUUGAGAAGGAUCUUACUCCCUUCAAAGUACAUGGUUGACAAAAGAGGUACUUAUGAUGCUGCUGAAGCAUCUUGUUACCAUCCAACAAGUGUAACUACGAUUCUGUAGUUUGGUCAUGUCGACCAUUUACAUGAUGUUUUUGACAUCAUAAAUUUCCUUGAUUUGUCUCACCUCAUUCAAAUAAAUCUGAAUGCUAUGUUUUACUUGAGGGAAUAGCAAACACUUCUCACUUCUAAUCCGGAAUCUAUCUUUUCCUAGUUAGUUCCAUAAACCUGUGCUUUCCUGGGAUUGAAUGAUUCCAUAAUUUUUUGUUUCUUGCCAGCACUAAAUGAGGAAGACUACAUGUGGGAUUUUCGUGAACAAUAUAUUUUUGGCAGUGUCAUUCUGAAAGCUAAGAGGGAACAGGUUCUUAAUUUAGAUGAAGCGUGUAUGAGUAAAAUUUAUGAGUCUUAUUUGAGUUUUGUUGCAACACAGGAAAGAACUAAAGGGUAAAGUGAAAAAUGUCAAAGUGGCUCAAUAACAUGCUUGAUACCAAUCAACAAAUUCUCUUAGAAUAGGAUUAGUUUAUCAGUAUCAUAGACUUCAAAGGCCCUGUCAUUCCAGUGUUCUGAGAAAUUGAAGUUUGUUCAGGUUGGUUCGUUCCUUGUUAGUCCAGUUACUUAUGUUAUUAUGUGGGUCAUCAUGGUCUCUUUGUCCCAGAUGUUGGAGUAGAAGGUUGAGAAAUGGAAAUAUGAAUGGAAGUCUUUUUAACAAGUUUUUAAGCCUAAUCUGCCUAGUAUUUGUUUUAUUCUUAUAGAAGAAAACUCCCUUCCUGAUGUUUUCAUUCUUCAGCUUAGAAGCUAUGGACUCAUAAAAUUUCAUUUAGCUAUUUUCUGCUUCUGUUCCUAAGAGAAACCAUUAUGAUUGACAAAUUCAACUAUGACCUUUGCUGACGUUAGAUACUUAUCACAAGAUAGGUUGGGGAUCUAUUCUAUCUCUAGACAUCUUGAACAAAUCCUUUUACCAUUUCCUACCUUUGAGCAGGUCUAACUUCUUGUCAUGUUUACAUGGUUCUCUUCAUCAACAGUAUAUGUAUUGACUCAGCAUACUAACAACUGCAGUCGAUCUGUGUAGUGAUUAUUUUUCCCAUUAGCAUCAUUUACUUUCAUGUAGAAGCAGUGGCGGGGCCAGAAUUUUUAAUAAGGGGGUUCAAAAUCUGAGAAGUAAACACACGAACUAGUGGAAGGGGGUUCGACAUCUAUUAUACAUACCUAAAAAAUAAUUUUAACCAUGUAUAAAUAGUAAUAUUUUUCGCCAAGGGUGUUCGGAUGAACCCCCUAGGUAUAUGCUGCCUCCGCCCCUGUGUAGAAGUGUAUUUGAAUGUGUUGCGCAAAGUUUAAACAGCUUUGUGAAAAAACUGUUCACUGUAAAGUAUUGCCUGGUAUAUACAGUAUAUAACAAAAAGGCAUAAUCAGACAAGAACGCUCAUAAGUCACGUUGUAUGUCAACUAAAUUAAGUUGCCAGUUAUUAACAAAUACAUAUUUCAGAAGAAAUUUCUGGUUUCGAUUUGGAAAUCUCCCCUUAAUAUUAACUGCAAUAGUGCGGCAACCUUAUUUGCAUCAAACAGUAAGCACAUACAGGGUUUUCCCACAAUGCCCAUGAAAAUUUGGACCUGGGUAUUGCAAAUAUUGGUUAGCUGACCAUAUUUACUAUGUUUUCAACAUUCCAGUCGCCAGAAGUAUCCAUGCCCUUUCAUAACUUUCUUGUAUAUAAGUAUUAUAACUCCUAAACUUUUGGUAGGGGAUGUGUUUGAUAGUUGGCAACUUCCUCUCCUGUCUAUCUCGGCUUCAACCAUCAAGAUUUUGAUAUGUCUCUUUAUUUCUGAUCAAAGGAAUGUCAUUUUGUUUUCCUGAAAAUCCUACAUAUUUUUAGCAGGAUUGAAAAAUCUUCUUCCUAUUACUCAAACAAGCAAGAAAACUAUGUAAUUUUGGGCUUUUCAGUGGAUGAACAUCUUGCUUGAUGUGAUUUGUGAGACCAAUAUGAAAUGAAUUUGUAAUCACAGUGCCUAUAGUCUUUAGGAUUUGGGAGCGGGAGCAGUUCAUGGAGUUUAAAGAUGUGUGUUGACUGCAUUGAUUAGUGGAAAUGCUUUUCUGGUUUUUUAUCUGCAGGGCUUUGCUAGUAAAUAUCGUGAUGAUCCAGGAUAUCCGAUAUUCAGAACUCUAUUGGUUGUGAAUAAUGUUAUCCAUUUUGUC
rnacentral:lncRNA from 1 species